UUAAUAAAGUCAGAUUGUCUUCAACCUAAUCAUUACUUUUUCUAAACUUCAUCUUCUCAUCUCAACGGCGCCGAUUCUCAAAGAAUGCCUACUCGAGAGGAAUUUCUGUGUUUUCUUCAACAAAAACCGAUUGGUGAUGGAACACCAAGUUAUGUUGAUUCCUUUCAAGUAUUUGAGACUUACUUCUCUUAACCAAAGCACUUCUCUCAACUAAACCCGGCCAAUAUCAACGUCACACAGAUACCAUCAAAUUCGACACACCACUAGACUUUUCCGUUUGCCAAUUUGCUAAUCCCGCUUUACAGAGACACUACGCGAUCUUGCAAGCCAUUGCAUUGGAUGAAGACGAGCUUCGUGAGACUAGAGAUGAGACUCUUCCUGACAAAGAAGGAAUGAACAGACCUGGAGUUGUGAAAGCAAUAGAAGAAUUUAAGAAGUCUAUCUACGGUGAUGACUCUGGAGAAGAAAGUGAUUCAGGGGAAAAAAAAGGAGAAAUCAAGAAAGCGUGAAAACGUGAAGUUAUAAUCAUCUACCUCCCUAUGUGAAAACGUGAUGGUUCAGAGCAAUUGCGCAACAAUUUAAUUGGAAAAGAAGCAUUACUGAGAUAGUAAAGGUUGCUUAUGAGAAAAAGGCCCAGAAAUCUUUCUCAAGCAACUUGUGUGCUUGGAAAGAUAAACGGAAGCCGAACAAAGAUCUUCCGGACUGGGUAUCAGAAAAAAACAUGAGCAGCUAACUCAAGGUGUAGCAACUCAGAAAAACCAUCUUACCCAAGCAGAGAUCAACAAUCUCGUUUUAAGGUAAACUCCUGUAACUAAGGGUCACCGUUUUGGGUUUGGAACACUACCACACCCAAGACAACAUCUUCUUCCUCUACUUUAGACCAAGAGGACCAGAAGAUUGCUAUGGCAAACGAAAAGAUUGUUAGGUUGGAGAAUGACAAGACUGACCAAGGUAAGGUUAUGAAGUAUUUGCAGAACUUGGCACAUAAGAUUGUAAGCAAAUUUCCAGAAUUUCUAGAUGAAGAUGAAGAUGAAGAUGCCACUCAAGAAUAGUUAUGUAUUAGUUAUUAUGCUUCCAUUUUGUGGUUAAAACUUUAGUAAUGACUAAUUGCAACUUUUUUUUUGUUAACGUUGUGUUAAAACUUUAUUUAUGUAUUAUGCUAAGACUAUUUUGUUGUUAA